UGGGCAAGGAUCUUUGUAUCUCCCUUUGUUUCAUUGGCGAGUUGCAUCUUGUCAGUCCUGUAAUUCCGAGCUCUUCAGGGCAGAGACUGUCAGCUGCAUGUCUGUACAGUAGCUUGCACAGUACGGUGCAAGGUUCUAGUUCACUCCCGGAAGCUUCUCGGCAAUAAUGCAACACACGCAAUAAAUCUGGUGGUCCAAGAGUGCUAUGGCUUCUUGUCUUUCCAUGUGUGUCCAUUGCUGUCUUCUGUUCUGUUACUUUCCUUUAGGGACACUCUCUUCAAACCCAUUUCCAAGCCACCUCUCCUGCCUUCUGCUCUUCAGCAGCAAGAGUAUAUUCUUUGCAGUAUUGCCAAUCGCUAUCUGUCUUAAUGAAUGCUUUACAUCCUAAUUCCAGUGUCUCAUUUCUCAGAUAUUUUUUUCUUCUCCUUUGGUGCAAGUGCUACUUUUGCCAUUUUGCAGUGAUUGAAGAUGCAACUUGAUAAAUGUUCUUUAAAAAUUCUUUGCUCUUAAGCUUGUUUGUCGAUACAAUAAUUCUAUCGCAACUCUUGGCUAUCAAUUGUCUGCUCAUGGAGAUAAAUGCUGUAUUCUGCUCUGACUUUCCUGCUUCUAAAGCACCUAACACAUCAGCACAAACAUGGGAGAGGUGGGGAGGAAAAGUGACUUACUUCCCUUUCCUUUUAUCUUGGCUUAAGGAAAUAGAAGCUAUUUGAAGAUGGCUGUUGUAGCUCAGGUGCUCAGAGUGAUGACCAGAGAUGCUUGAAAAUUGUGGAGGGCAAGAAUAACAAAAAAGGUGGUCCUCCUUGCCGGUGUGAUCUCAGCGGAGGUUACGUUCUUCCCCCACAUCAGCAGGGAAAGUUAUUAUCAGCUGACAUAUUGUGUAACUUGAGAGUGAGCAAGUCCUGUUGGAAAGUUGCCAUUGUUUGGAAAUUUCCAUACGGAGGCUCUGUAAAUCCUUCAGUAAUAGCGUCAUAGGCUCCUUUGGGGUAUCUGUCUCUGUGGUGAUAGUCAGGCGUUCACUUUGCACAGCAGCAGGUGUAAGGAACAGAAAGGAGAGGGGACAGAGUGGUUCUGAGAAGGCUAUUUCAGAAAGCAGCACACUAGUGCACAAAAGAGAGGGUCAGACUCUAUUUGAAGCCGCAAAGAAACUAAGUGCAUCCAAUGUAAGCCCUGUUUGUUCAUUUUAUUGCCUCCAAAAUAAAUGUACUCCUUGAUCACAGAUUAUUUAUUACCUAUUCCCAAACUGGCCUGGCAGCUCUUGGCAUCCUCACUGAUCUGAUCUGGCAGCUUCUUACUCACACAGUAUUUUUUUUGUGAUCCCUACUUAAAUUCUGUGUGGAAGUGGAAAAUGCAUCAGCAAUCCUAGCUGCUUUGCAGGUACUUUCAAGAUGUUGUCUAAGCACUCGAUCUUGAAGGGGUAGAGUGGAAGAAUGUGAUUUUUCUUGCUCUAUAUUUAAUAAAUUUAUGGAAUACCAGGA